rnacentral:lncRNA from 1 species
UUAAGUUCUUGCCUUCCCCAUUAAGAGUUUCCAGAGAUAAAGCCAUCCCCCCUUCCUCCUGGCGCAGAGAGGGAGGCAUGGAGAUUUCCUUCACAAAUGCAAUUGUCUCUGAUCAAAGGGCAAACAAAUUCCACUCCUCAGAGCCUGCUUCUUAUCUGUAGUUUUAAAAGUAAUCAGCCUAAAAAUCCUCAUCAUAAACUGUUUUAAAAUUAAGCAGCCUAAAAAUCCUCAUCAGUGACUAUAAUUGGCCCUCGGUAUUCGUGGGUUCUGCAUCUGUGGAUUCAACUAACCCCAAAUCGAAAGGCCUACAAUGGCUCUGUCUGUACUGAAGAUGUACAAACGUUUUUUUCUUGUCAUUAUUCCCUAAACAACACAGGAUAACAACUAUUUACAUAGCAUUUACAUUGCGUUAGGUAUUAUAAGUAAUCUAGAGAUGAUCUAAAGUACAUGGGAGGAUGUGCAUAGGUUAUAUGCAAAUGCUAGGCCAUUUUCUGUGAAAGACUGGAGCAUCCACAGAUUUGGUAUCUGUGGGGGUGCUGGAACCAAUCUCCCAUGGAUACCGAGGGACAACUGUACUAAUGUUCUUCCUUCUGAGAGGUCUCUGAGGAUGACUGAGUUACUAUUUGCCAAGAGAUUUGAGAACCUAAGGCAAGUGACACUGAGCUGCUCACCAACUAUGACAAGGUGUCUGCAUAAACACCCAUCCUUCUGUUCUUGCCAGAUCUUUGUGGGUGGCAGAGUUUGGAAUAAUUUCAUUACCAAAGUCCAUCAGACUUGCCAGUGUCUCUCUAAGACUGCCUUUUUCAUAAUCAUUGUGUUUGUUUAUCUGAAAUGGAAUUCAUAUAGAUAAGGAAUGGGGAUAGUGCAAGGGUAGCUAUUAACCAUUCAAAAGACAACACAAUGGGAAUGAAUCAUCUACCCCCACGCCCUGAUUCUGAGGCUUGUUUUUGCAUUGUUUUUAUCCUCUAAAUAAAAAGAAGGGAAAAAUUCUAAGAAAGAUAAGCUCCUUAUGGCUAGUAAAGUUGAGAAUCAUCAUGAUACAAUGUUUAGACCACAAGUCUGGGAUGGAAGUGGGAACAAUUCAGAAAUGCUGUGCCAAAUUCUCCUUUUGUUCUUUGGCUUGCAGUAUGUUAGGACCAAGGGUAUUUGAAAGAUCAGCAUUUUAUAGGCUGAGAAAUGAAGACCUAGAGAAGGAAUAUGAUGAAUACAUGAAAAGCAAUAAGAAAAGUGUGUGUGUGCAUGUAUAUACAUACAUACAUAUGUAUAUAUGUUGAGGUAUAUGAGGAAGCCAUUUGGUUUAAAACUAAUUUGGCCUGACCUGUUUUUAUCCAGAAAGGCCUAAUGUGGCCUGCCAAGCAUGCCUUGUGUCUCUGCUUUAAACAUUUACAAAGCAAAGAAUGAUGCCUUUAAAGAUACGGAUGAGUGCCUCCCCCCAUAUAAGCGUUUCUUUAAAGAUACGCGUUUCUUCCCAGAAACUAAUGGUCAAACUGACCCAUUGUGCAGAUGUUGUGACCACUGAUCUGCUGUGUUAGCAAAACAUCUUGUGACUGUAGGAAAAAGAGAGAUUCCUAUCAUGUUUGAUGUAUGUUCUUGUUCCAACACGUUAUAUAACCACACUGUACACCUUGCUUCUUCAGAAUGACUCCUUCCUUGGUGAAGGUGCUCGCUCGUGCUAUAUAGUCCUCAGACUGACUCAUGUAAUAAAUGCAUCCUAAUUUUGAUUUAUAGAUUGAUUAUUAACUAUUUGUGUUGAUGUUUCUGGCGUAGUCACAGCAGGAUUUUCACAGUAACCCAAUGGAGACCACCUGGAAUCUACAUUGAACCAGCAUUCAGUACCAAUGAACACCCCCCAACCCCAGCACAGCUUCUCUGCAUUCUUCAAGCACCCCACUGAUUCCUUUCACAGUGAGCUCCUGAGAGAUGAAGACCUUAAGGAUCAUGGACUACAAUCUGGAGAUUUUGUUUAUUGGAAAACACACCAGAAAACGACUCUUUACAGCCCCAUUGGAAAGGACCAUCCUAGGAUGAGAAGAUAGAAUCUGUUACAGACAACUGUCCCAAGACUCUGGACCAGGCCUGUAUUCCCAACCUUGUAUGUCCUCAUUUAAAUCCUUGUAAUGCUUAAACUGUAUACCCAUUUUAUAAUUGCUACAAUAAUUGCUCUUGGUGAGUGAGUUCUUGGACCACAUCUGUUCUAUAAUUAUAAACAAUGUAAUUAUAAAAAGUCAUGUUAAAGCACAUGUGCGAUGUACAACAAUCUAAAAUUAAUUGAAAAAUUAUGUAACCUAUGAAAUACUUUCUCUGUUAAUAUAUGUUUCUAUGCUUGUCCACAAUAUCCAAUUGUUUUCCCCUAAUGUGGAUAACUGGGCAAAUCAAUGAAAUAAAAGCCUAGCACCAAGGGACAUGAUGGACCCAGGGCAAGCAGCAACCACCCUGACACUGAGAAACAAUAUUUUGAUCAUCAAUGCUUUCUAUCAAAAGAUUAUUGAUCAAAAGGGGAAAAAUGAUGAAUAAAUGAAAGCAAUAAGAAAAGAUAUAUAUAUAUAUAUCAGGAAGCCAUUUGGUUUAAAACUAAUAUGGCUUGACCUUGUUUUUUCCAGAAAGGCCUGACGUGGCCUGUCAAGCAUGCAUUGUACAUCUGCUUAAAUCAUUUACAAAGCAGAGAAUGAUGCCUUUAAAGAUAGGGAUGUGUGCCUUCCUCCCCCCCCCAUAUAUGCAUUCUUUUAAGGAUAAGCCUGUCUUCCCAGAAAUUAAGGGUCAAAUUGACCUACUGUGUAUAUUUUAUGACCCCUGACCUACUGAACACUGACCUGCUGUGCUCAUCUUGUGACCAGUGAACUGCUGUGCUAGCAAGACAUCUUGUGGCUGUGGUAAAAAGAGAUAUUCUUGUCAUAUUUGAUGUAUGUUUCUUGUCCCAAGAUGGUAUAUAACCACAGUGUACACCACACUUCUCCAGAGUCCUUCCUUCCUUGGUGAAGGUGCUCUCUCAGGCUGUGUAGUCCUCAGACUGUUUCAUAUAAUAAACUCAC